rnacentral:rRNA from 1 species
GAGAAAGGAUAUCUUCGGAUAUCUGAUUACACUGGCGGAUGGGUGAGUAACGCGUAGGCAACCUACCUUCAGGUUUGGGAUAGCACUGCUAACGCGGUGCUAAUACCAGAUGGUGCAUAUACACUGCAUGGUGUAUAUGUUAAAGCUGGCCACUGAUAUAAGCUAGUACCUGUAGAUGGGCUUGCGUUUCAUUAGUUAGUUGGUGGGGUAAUGGCUCACCAAGGCGACGAUGGAUAGCCGGCCUGAGAGGGUGAUCGGCCACACUGGGACUGAGAUACGGCCCAGACUCCUACGGGAGGCAGCAGUGAGGAAUAUUGCGCAAUGGCAGAAAUGCUGACGCAGCAACGCCGCGUGAGGGAUGAAGCUUUUCGGAGUGUAAACCUUUGUUAGGAGGGACGAACGGGCAUAAUACGAAUAGGGUUAUGCCGUGACGGUACCUCCAGAGGAAGCCCCGGCUAACUCCGUGCCAGCAGCCGCGGUAAUACGGGGGGGGCAAGCGUUGUCCGGAAUCAUUGGGCGUAAAGGGCGCGUAGGCUGACAGGUCAGUCUGUGGUGCAAUCUUGUGGCUUAACCGUAAGUUUGCCAUGGAAACUACCUGUCUUGAGAUCGGAAGGGGGAAGCGGAAUUCCUGGUGUAGCGGUGAAAUGCGUAGAUAUCAGGAAGAACACCGGUGGCGAAGGCGGCUUCCUGGUCCGAGACUGACGCUGAUGCGCGAAAGCGUGGGGAGCGAACAGGAUUAGAUACCCUGGUAGUCCACGCUGUAAACGAUGGGCACUAGGUGUUGGGCGU